rnacentral:rRNA from 1 species
AUGGAGAGCCCCACAUCGGCGGCAUCGCGGGUGGACUUCUACGGCUUCCUCGACCGCAUGCGCCGCCCGGAGGCCGCCGGCCUCUUCCGCUCCAUCAAGAGCUUCCUCACCUCCAUCUCCCUCGACGAGCCCAGCGCCGAGGCGGACGACGCCAGGGUCCAGGCCUUCUUCGCGGAGAUGGAGGCGGCCAUCCGGGGGCACCCGCUCUGGGCCGACGCCACCCACCAGGAAAUCGACCACACGCUCGAGGCUCGCCGGAGGACGCGGCCGCCGACGCCGAGGUCUCAGGACAAGAUCGGCCUCCUGCAGCGCUUUGUCAGGCCCCAUCACCUCGACAUACCCAAGUAUCGGCGACAACAAGAAGGCCUGGAAGACCGGACACUGCAGAUAUGUGCAGUCGCUGCCAAGCUUUGUGAUAUUGUUAGUCUACCAGAUAAUUUCUGA